rnacentral:rRNA from 1 species
GAUGAACGCUGGCGGCGUGCCUAAUACAUGCAAGUCGAGCGAACGGACGAGAAGCUUGCUUUUCUGAUGUUAGCGGCGGACGGGUGAGUAACAUGUGGAUAACCUACCUAUAAGACUGGGAUAACUUCGGGAAACCGGAGCUAAUACCGGAUAAUAUUUUGAACCGCAUGGUUCAUAAGUGAAAGACGGUCUUGCUGUCACUUAUAGAUGGAUCCGCGCUGCAUUAGCUAGUUGGUAAGGUAACGGCUUACCAAGGCAACGAUGCAUAGCCGACCUGAGAGGGUGAUCGGCCACACUGGAGCUGAGACACCGUCCAGACUCCUGCGGGAGGCAGCAGUAGGGAAUCUUCCGCAAUGGGCGAAAGCCUGGCGGAGCAGCGCCGCGUGAGUGAUAAAGGUCUUCGGAUCGUAAAACUCUGUUAUUAGGGAAGAACAUAUGUGUAAGUAACUGUGCACAUCGUGACGGUACCUAAUCAGAAAGCCACGGCUAACUACGUG